GAGUUUGAUCUUGGCUCAGAUUGAACGCUGGCGGCAUGCCUUACACAUGCAAGUCGAGCGGCAGCGCGGGGGCAACCCUGGCGGCGAGCGGCGAACGGGUGAGUAAUACAUCGGAACGUGUCCAGUAGCGGGGGAUAACCUCUCGAAAGAGAGGCUAAUACCGCAUACGACCUACGGGUGAAAGCGGGGGACCGCAAGGCCUCGCACUAUUGGAGCGGCCGAUGUCGGAUUAGCUAGUUGGCGGGGUAAAAGCCCACCAAGGCGACGAUCCGUAGCUGGUCUGAGAGGACGAUCAGCCACACUGGAACUGAGACACGGUCCAGACUCCUACGGGAGGCAGCAGUGGGGAAUUUUGGACGAUGGGGGCAACCCUGAUCCAGCCAUGCCGCGUGAGUGAAGAAGGCCUUC
rnacentral:rRNA from 1 species